UACGAAGGAUGCAAGCGUUAUCCGGAUUUAUUGGGUUUAAAGGGUGCGUAGGCGGACUUAUAAGUCAGUGGUGAAAUCUCGAUGCUUAACAUCGAACGUGCCAUUGAUACUGUAGGUCUUGAGUACAGAUGCCGUUGGCGGAAUGUGUCAUGUAGCGGUGAAAUGCAUAGAUAUGACACAGAACACCGAUUGCGAAGGCAGCUGACGAAACUGUGACUGACGCUGAGGCACGAAAGCGUGGGGAUCAAACAGG
rnacentral:rRNA from 1 species